rnacentral:rRNA from 1 species
UACGUAGGGAGCAAGCGUUGUCCGGAAUCAUUGGGCGUAAAGCGCGCGUAGGCGGCCCCGUAAGUCCGCUGUGAAAGUCCAGGGCUCAACCCUGGAAUGCCAGUGGAAACUGUCGGGCUAGAGUCCGGAAGAGGCGAGUGGAAUUCCUGGUGUAGCGGUGAAAUGCGCAGAUAUCAGGAGGAACACCGGUGGCGAAGGCGGAUCUCUGGGCCUUACCUGACGCUCAGGCGCGAAAGCUAGGGGAGCGAACAGG